rnacentral:rRNA from 1 species
AGUGAACGCUGGCGGUAGGCCUAACACAUGCAAGUCGAACGGCAGCACAGUAAGAGCUUGCUCUUACGGGUGGCGAGUGGCGGACGGGUGAGGAAUACAUCGGAAUCUACUUUUUCGUGGGGGAUAACGUAGGGAAACUUACGCUAAUACCGCAUACGACCUGCGGGUGAAAGCAGGGGAUCUUCGGACCUUGCGCGAUUGAAUGAGCCGAUGUCGGAUUAGCUAGUUGGCGGGGUAAAGGCCCACCAAGGCGACGAUCCGUAGCUGGUCUGAGAGGAUGAUCAGCCACACUGGAUCUGAGACACGGUCCAGACUCCUACGGGAGGCAGCAGUGGGGAAUAUUGGACAAUGGGCGCAAGCCUGAUCCAGCCAUACCGCGUGGGUGAAGAAGGCCUUCGGGUUGUAAAGCCCUUUUGUUGGGAAAGAAAAGCAGCAGGUUAAUACCCCGCUGUUCUGACGGUACCCAAAGAAUAAGCACCGGCUAACUUCGUG